CUUGUUCUUCUGAGGGACACGUUAAAGACGUCUGCGCUGCUGUUUCUGUGGGUGUUCAGCCUGAGACACAACUUGAAUCCAACCAGUUUGAACAUUGACUCCAGGGACAGACGAGCCUGAAGGACACAGCUGUGACGACCAUGUUGUGUCUCUUAUGGCAAAGCAGAAAUAUUAAACACAGGGUUCUUUUCGAAAGUGUAUAAAAUCAGAAAGCAAAAAAUACACAUUGUUCUAAUAAAUGUUUAUUUUUUUAACCAACCAUAAUGAAGAUAGACAUUAACUCUUAUACAUGACACUUUGCAAUGACCACCACCACUAAACAGUUGCAGGUCAUAUUUAGUUAAGGGAGGAAUUUAGAAGUGUUGUGUAGAUGACGAUUCAGUCGUCCACGUGUUGACCAGCAUGACGCUGCAGAUCUCCACCAUGUUGCUGCUGAGGACAUCAGGUGCUGCAGUUCUUCAUCUAUGAAGACAAAAACAGCACUGUUAAAGAAUGUUUUGUGUUGUGUAUGAAGCACAACAGAUUUCAGAUAGAACCGUUGUACUGUGGUCUUGGUUUGUAUCGUCAUGGUUAAAUGUACAUAUUUGAAGUCACUUUUGAUAAAAGUAGGGAAAGAAAUACAACAUUGUACAAAUAGAGAAAAUGUAUUUUUACCUCAUCUGUAAUAUUCAAGGUGAUAAUUUCCCACAGAGCUAUUGAUAACAGUCCACAUCAAGUCUCUCCACUUCCCUCAGUAUGAAAACAUAAUUAUACAAUUAAUUGAAGAACUGUGUUUACACUGGUUGUCACAUUAGUUAUUUGUGGGAUAUUAAAAUAUUAUCCCAAUAUAUGUACAAAAAUCAAACUAACCAUGUCAUUUGUCUAAAUGGUUGCAUUUAAUGGACAAGUACUUCAACAUUACAUAUGUAGUCUGCGAUUGGUAUGAAUUAGUUCAGUGGUGUUUCUACAUUUGGAACACCAGAUGUAGAUGGCGCUGUUGUGAAGAA